rnacentral:rRNA from 1 species
CCUACGGGUGGCUGCAGUGGGGAAUAUUGCACAAUGGGGGAAACCCUGAUGCAGCGACGCCGCGUGAGUGAAGAAGUACUUCGUUAUGUAAAGCUCUAUCAGCAGGGAAGAAAAUGACGGUACCUGAGUAAGACGCCCCGGCUAACUACGUGCCAGCCGCCGCGGUCAGACGUAGGGGGCAAGCGUUAUCCGGGUUUGCUGGGUGUAACGGGAGCGUAGACGGCAGGGCAGGGCUGGAGUGAAAGGCGGGGGCGCAAGGCCCGGACUGCUCUGGAAACUGUACGGCUGGAGUGCAGGAGAGGGAAGUGGAAUUCCUAGUGUAGCGGUGAAAUGCGUAGAUAUUAGGAGGAACACCAGUGGCGAAGGCGGCUUACUGGACUGUAACUGACGUUGAGGCUCGAAAGCGUGGGGAGCAAACAGGAUUAGAUACCCUGGUAGUC